rnacentral:rRNA from 1 species
AUUGAACGCUGGCGGAAUGCUUUACACAUGCAAGUCGAACGGUAGAGGGGGCAACCCCUCGAGAGUGGCGAACGGGUGAGUAAUAUAUCGGCACGUGCCCCGUCGUGGGGGAUAACGUAGCGAAAGUUACGCUAAUACCGCAUACGAUCUAAGGAGGAAAGCGGGGGAUCGCAAGACCUCGCGCGAUUGGAGAGGCGGAUAUCAGAUUAGGUAGUUGGAGGGGUAAAGGCUCACCAAGCAAACGAUCUGUAGCUGGUCUGAGAGGACGACCAGCCACACUGGAACUGAGACACGGUCCAGACUCCUACGGGAGGCAGCAGUGGGGAAUUUUGGACAAUGGACGCAAGUCUGAUCCAGCCAUUCCGCGUGCAGGAGGAAGGCCCUCGGGUUGUAAACUGCUUUUGUACGGAACGAAAAGGUCUCUCUUAAUACGGGGGACUCAUGACGGUACCGUAAGAAUAAGCACCGGCUAACUACGUGCCAGCCGCCGCAGUAA